rnacentral:lncRNA from 1 species
GGACGCUGGGCUGGGAAGGGGCCUGGUGAGAGGGGUUAACUCCCUCAGCCCAGUUUCCACACUGUCCCCUCCCUCUACAGCACCUGCCCAGGGCAACGCCCACCCGGCCCUCCUCUGCUUCCUUCUCCGAAUUCACACAUCACUUCCCCGCCAAAAAGUAGCAACAAGGAAGACAGAACCACAUCAUAUUCACGGCAUUCCAACGAGAGGGUCACAGCAGCUCCCUGAUGAAAACACAACUGUCAGGAUCGCUAUUCACGUCAUCCCUUGGUGUGCACCCAUGCUGAAGCCACGAAGAGCCGCCCUAUGAAACCCUCUGAGCCACAGCAACAAUCUCACUGCUAAUUAGCUCUGGCUAAUGCACCCUAACAAGUCCUGGAAGUGAGAAGACUGCAGUGGGAAAUGCAGGCGGACAGCUACUUAGCCGGCACUCAGACACAGGGUGACCGAGAUAACUGGUGUCAAAUGGAAUCUGAACAAACCUUCUCCGGGGGUUUAUCCGUACCUCGAAAUGCUGAAGGGAGGCUGCCAGGGCCAAAGAUCCAGGAGAAACAAAUUAAGUGGAAACCCACGGCCCCACCCUCCCCCUCACCUCCAUUGCCAGCAGCUGAAGGUAAACCAAGACGUGGGGCUGAGCCUUCACCCUUCAUGGGCCACGCCAAAUUAGACACUCAUUCUGCAACUCGCGUGUCUGUGCACAGAGCAGUAAGCCUCUAAGUGGGAAAUUCUUCCUCCAGGCAUCGCAGCGCUGCAGAAGCCGUAAGGCACAUAAACAGAGAAGCACCAGGGCCUGAAAGGAAGGCAGCGCUGGCUGUGAUCACUCACUAGAGCCUGAUCCCUUAGGGCUGCCAAGAACCCAGAAGUCUGUUCCAUGUGUACAAAGCAGGCAGGAUGCAAUCCUGACAGAGCCCAAGGGGGUGCAGGAAUUGAUAACCAAGUCGAGAGGGGACAGACAGAAAGAACUCAGUAUGAGCAUUUUUGCAGCCCACCACCAAUUUCACGCAUUUACCUAUUGUACUUUCUCUCUCUUUUCAAAUUAAAAAUAGUUUUAAACAAAUGAUUGCUUUAACGUUUAGAAAAACGUUUGCAGCCUAGGCACGGUGGCUUGCGCUUGUAAUCCCAGCAUAUUAGAUGGCUGAGGCAGGAGGAUCAUUUGAAGCCAGGAGUUCAAGACCAGCCUGGGCAACAUGGCAAGACCCCAUCUCUACAAAAAUUUUUUUAAAAAGCCGGACAUGGUGGCUGUCGUGGGUGCGACUGGCUGGGGCCAGCAUCACAGGUGGUAGAAGAUUUUACCAAGACAGUUGUAAGUAAAGAAAGGCCAAUUUAUUAGGUAAGGUACAGAGAAAUGUUGCAAGGGUUUAAUGGACAGCACAGCAGAGAAAGGGCUGUGUGCAGAGAGGCAGGGGCUGGAGGGAAGUUUUAUAGGUUCACACUGGAGGGGGCUAUGUGCAGAAUGAGGUUGUGCUGCUGGCGCUGUGUGGCGCGAGGUAUUUGGGAACAGGAUGUUGUGCUAGUGGGUUGUCUGUGAUUACCGGUCUCUCAGAACAAUGGCUGUCCCCACAGGGGGCCCCUUUCUCAUUGUUGCUUACUAAUUUGGACUCCACAGUGGUGCAUGCCUGUAGACUCAGCUACUCAAGAGGCUGAAGCGGGAGGAUCAACUGAGUCCAAAGGAUCACACCACUGCACUCCAGCCUGGGUAACAGUGAGAGAUGCCAUCUCUAAAAAUAAAAAUAAAAAACUUUACCCUCUCAAUAACCACAACAUUCAGACCGUGGCUUUGGUUUGAUUGCAGGCUACUUGAGAUAUAGGAAAAAAAGAUGCAGAAAAUAAAAUAGGGCUGAAAAAAGAAUCGGGGAAAGCUAGAAAAAACUCCAGGGCUGCCCUGGGUGCUGGAGGAGGGGAGCAAACAAAUGUCCUCCAGCCUGGUCAGUGUCAGCAGGCUUGUCCCCAAAGAUUAGGGGUCAUGAGGGGUCAUCUGGGGCGGGAGCAGGGCUCACCAGGUCGGGACCAGGACUCUCAGGGCCUCCUGUCUCAGGCCUAAAGGAAGGAGCUUCCAGCCACUGUGGGUGACUACCUUGCUACCACAUGCUGAGCCCAGUGUGAAUGCCUGUAAGGGGUUGAAUAGUAUCCCCCAAAUUUCACAUCUACCCAGAACCUCAGGAUGUGACCUUAUUUUAAAAUAGCGUCUUUGCAAAUGUAAUUAGUUGGGGGUUGAGAGGAUGUCAGGCCUCUGAGCCCAAGCUAAGCCAUCAUAUCCCCUGUGACCUGCACAUACACAUCCAGAUGGCCGGUUCCUGCCUUAACUGAUGACAUUCCACCACAAAAGAAGUGAAAAUGGCCUGUUCCUGCCUUAACUGAUGACAUUAUCUUGUGAAAUUCCUUCUCCUGGCUCAUCCUGGCUCAAAAGCUCCCCUACUGAGCACCCUGUGACCCCCACUCCGGCCCGCCAGAGAACAACCCUCCUUUGCCUGUAAUUUUCCUUUACCUACCCAAAUCUUAUGAAAUGGCCCCACCCCUAUCUCCCUUCGCUGACUCUCUUUUCGGACUCAGCCCACCCACACCCACGUGAAAUAAACAGCCUUGUUGCUCACACAAAGCCGGUUUGGUGGUCUCUUCACAAGGACGCGAGUGAAAUUUUGGUGCCGUGACUCGGAACGGGGGCCUCCCUUGGGAGAUCAAUCCCCUGUCCUCCUGCUCUUUGCUCCAUGAGAAAGAUCCACCUACGACCUCUGGUCCUCAGACUAACCAGCCCAAGGAACAUCUCACCAAUUUUAACUCCGUUCCUUUCCUUUUCUGGUAGAGACGAAGGAGACGCGUUUUAUCCGUGGACCCAAAACUCCAGCGCCAGUCACGGACUCAAGAAGUCUUCCCUUGGUGUUUAAUCACGCGGGGACACCUCCCUGAUUAUUCACCCACGUUUCAGAGGUGUUUUACCACGGGACGCCUGCCUUGGUCCUUCACCCUUAGCGGCUGGACCUGGGCAGGACCAGCCCGGUCAUCUACAGCUGAGGUGAGGCCUGGGCAGAUUUCCCCUCACAGCCCCAGCAGGAACCAACCCCAGGGACACCUCAACCUUGGACUUCCGGCCUCUAGGAAGAUCAGUAAGAGAUUUCAGUUGUUCAAACCACCCGGCCUGUGGCAGUUUGUUCCAGCAGCCCCAGCCAACUCCUGACCUGAAAUAUGUUUAUUUGUUUACAUUUUCUUUGCUGCUUUUUAGAGUCUAAGCCCCACGUGGGCAGGCCUUUUUAUAUUUUAAUCACUACCCUAUCCCAAGUGCCUGGACGGUGUUGUUGGUGUAAAGCAGUUGCUUAAUAAAUAUUUGUGGAAU